CGAAAGCCUGACGGAGCAAUACCGCGUGAGGGAGGAAGGCCUUUGGGUUGUAAACCUCUUUUCUCAGGGAAGAAGAUCUGACGGUACCUGAGGAAUAAGCAUCGGCUAACUCCGUGCCAGCAGCCGCGGUAAUACGGAGGAUGCAAGCGUUAUCCGGAAUCAUUGGGCGUAAAGCGUCCGCAGGUGGUUUUUCAAGUCUGCUGUUAAAGACUGGAGCUCAACUCCGGAAAGGCAGUGGAAACUGAGAAACUAGAGUUCGGUAGGGGUAGCGGGAAUUCCCAGUGUAGCGGUGAAAUGCGUAGAUAUUGGGAAGAACAUCGGUGGCGAAGGCGCGCUACUGGACCGAAACUGACACUCAGGGACGAAAGCUAGGGGAGCG
rnacentral:rRNA from 1 species